rnacentral:lncRNA from 1 species
CCCCGUGGACGCGCCGGGGCCGGGCCGGGGUCUCUCCGGAGCCGCCGCCGCCGCCACCGGGGCCGCCGCCGCCGCCGCCGCGCCAUGGGCAGCCCGGGAGCCGGAGCCUGAGCGGCGCAUGGGAGAAU